GGUGGCCUAUUGGUUAUAGCGUCCGCCUCGGAUGCUGGAGGCCGUGGGUACGAAUCCCGGCUGAGUCA